UCUCUCCUGCUGGCUCUCAUGCCUCAUUCUGCUUGGGAACAACAGAAAGCAGGAUGUGGCUUCGUUGCCCCGUGCUGCCGAUGUUUCUGGUAUUGGGAGCCUACUCUCUCUGAGGACAGUUCAUGCUUUUUGCUGACAACUAAAUAUGAAGACUAUCCUAAGAAAGCCAGAGCGAAAGAAGUUCACCGGAAUGCUGCAAAGAGGACAAGAGCAGUGCUGAGAGAGAGAGAGAGAGAGAGAGAGAGAGAGAGAGAGAGAGAGAGAGAGAGAGAGAGAGAGAGAGAGAGAGAGAGAGAGAGAGAAGGAAAAAAUCACCCCAAACAACAAACCUAGGUUGUCCAUCUUCCACGACCUAUACUAUGUUCUGGCAUUCUUUCUCAGAGCCACCAGAAGCAUUCCUGUCAGCAAAGGUAGCGUUGGUGGUGAAAAGUCACCGGGGAGGACCGAUUGACUGAUUUUUUUUUCCUUGUGGAGAGGCCUGGAAAGGCCCUGAGAGCCCCAAAGAUGAGUGCCAACGGCAGCACACUGGGUCAGCUCCUCUGGCGUGGGCCCGUGUGCAGUAGCUGGAAGCAGGACAUGGAAGGUUCCGUCUACCACCUGGCCAACUGCUUCUUGCUCAUGGGAUUUAUGGCAGGCAGUGGAGUGUACGGAUGCUUCUAUCUUUUCGGCAUCCUGGGCCCGGGCUACCUCUGCUAUGUGCUGUGGGGCUGGUUUCAUGCCUGCGGGCUAGACAUCGUCAUUUGGAACAUCUUGCUGACCGUGGCUUGCCUGCUUCAGCUGGCACAUCUGGUGUAUCGCCUUCGGGUGAAUACCCUCCCCGAGGAGUUCAAUCUCCUCUACAAGACACUGUGCCUGCCCCUGCAGGUGCCCCUGCAGGUCUACAAGGAAAUUGUCCACUGCUGCCAAGAGCAGGUCUUGACACUAGCCACCGAGCAGACCUACGCCGUGGAGGGUGAGACACCCAUCAACCGCUUGUCCCUGCUCCUCUCUGGCCGGGUUCGAGUGAGCCAGGAUGGGCAGUUUCUGCACUACAUCUUUCCCUACCAGUUCAUGGACUCUCCCGAGUGGGAAUCACUGCAGCCUUCUGAGGAGGGGACCUUCCAGGUCACGCUGACUGCUGAGACCGAAUGCAGCUACAUUUCCUGGCCCCGGAAAAACCUCCACCUUCUUCUGAGUAGAGAGCAAUACAUCUCCCGCCUCUUCUCAGCCCUGCUGGGCUAUGACAUCUCGGAGAAGCUCUACACUCUCAAUGACAAACUAUUUGCUAAGUUUGGGCUGCGCUUCGACAUCCGUCUCCCCAGCCUCUAUCACGUGCUGGGGUCCUCAGCCUCUGAUGGAGGACCCGAGUCUGAGAAGGAUGAUGAAGAAGUCUUUGAGGCAGCUGUGUCCUCUGCCCAGGCCAGGCCCAUCUGUAUCCUGCCAACACCCCCUUGCUCCCCACCUCCUGCUACCUCCAACUUCCCUGCGCCUCUACCCCGGGCCAGGAUGUCCAGACCUGACAGUGGCACCCUGGGUGAGGACUCCACCAGUCUGGUGCUGGAGGAUUUUGAGGAGGUUUCAGGAUCAGAGUCGUUUAUGGAUUAUAGGAGUGAUGGGGAAUACAUGAGGUGAGGGCAGAACUAACUCGGGCACGGUCACCAGCUAAGGAUCCUGUAAACCCAAGGAGAGCCAGGACUGUUGUUGGGUGGACCGGAACUGGCAGUGAAACAAAACGGCACAGGUGACUCAGAGAGCGGCACACUGAGCCCUGAGUGAGUGGUCAGGAUGCAGGAACCUAAGGCCAGGCCCUGAUGCUGACAGGCUGUGCCAUCGCCUCUAAGUCACUGGACCUCUUUAUCGCUCGAUUGCUUUGCCUGACAAUGGUGAAGACCUGAUGAAGUGAAAAACCAUUCUACAAGAGAAAACUAAUACUGUUUGUAAAAGCAUUAUUUGGUAGACGAUCAGCCCUUGCUGGCACAUGCCUGGCAGAAAUCAAGGAGAGGGGGUGACAACCGUCCUGAAGAGCACUGCUGGAAGCAGGCUAAGAGGAGAGCUUCGUGUGGGAGUGCAGCUCCGUGAUGCCCGGCGAGUGUCUGGGGACACUGAACGGGCUCCUGGCUCCAUCAAAGCCCAGUUAAAUGAGCACAGACUUGGCCUAGGGGAAGGAUAGUACUCUGCAUCUGUCCUUAGAAAGGAAGGCUCAGAGUUUGGGAGCAAGAAGGUUUCCUAUGUCCCUCUGUGGUGCUUGAACGGAUAGGAGUGUGUUUCUGGGGGUGUAAGGGAGAGGGAUUCACAACAAAUGUGAAACUAGAAAUGUACAGCUCUGUGGCAGCCUCAGCAGGCAUCUUUAAAAGGCCCAGAACCUCCAAGCUUCCCCGGGCUUCCCUCACCAGUAUAUUCUUAGCUACGCAGACACAGAGGAGCCUGUUUGAGUUGCUGCCAGCCUGCCCUGACUAGAAUGAGAAGUCAGGACAUCUGGCCUCAGAAGCACAGUCCCGGCCACUCCACACCACGCCUUUCCUGCUGGCUCUGACGGCACUGUUGCCAGGAGAGUAACAAGAAGGAACAAGGAAUCGAGUAUGGUGGCGUGAGGGGACAUGGAAAAGGGUCAGAAGACCUGAUGUUGAAUCCUGAUUUCCUUGCCCAGAUGUGUGCCUCAGAUUCUGUCUCUCAGAAACUCUCAUCAUGAAAAUCCCACCACUGACUGGGACCGCUUAGUUCCUCAGACACAGCUCUAUCCACAAAGCUCAAAACAUCCCCAGCUGGGUCUCAAACUCUCUGGCCAAGGGAAGGGAAUGAUUAGGUACCCUACUCUGAGUCACCGUGCCACUGACUUCCUCUGCCCUAGUUUAUCCUUACAAUUGAUUCUUGCAUAUGGGGACUAUUAUUGUUUCCAUUCUCCACGGCAGGAUAUUGGGUUUCAGAAAGGUGAAGUGACUUGCUCCUAAUUAGUCAACUGGAAAGCAGAGAGGCUGAGACUCAAAACCGGUCUGUGUGGCCACAGAGUCUGAGCCUUUAGUCCCAAAUCACAUGGCACUGGGCCUUUCCAGUCAAUGGAAGGCUGUGGCCACUAAGAUCUCUCCAAUAAUGCAGCACACAUUAAUGAGAAAAUCAGCUCAAAUUGAGGUGACUGUAUAAUUUAUCAUCCAAAGUAGCUUUUUUUGUCCUAUGCAUGCCAUAGAGAAGACAGAAGGGCCCCAAGACAUUGAACACAAACCAGUCACCCCAGUGAAGCUAUAGAUAACAUGGGAAGAGCACUGGCUUAGUGUGUAAUGGGUUUCAUGGAUUUCAAGACUAUUGUUUUAAUUUUGCAUCUUUUAUAAUCAUUGGCAUCUUAGCUUCAAGGAAACGCAGUGAGUAGUAUCUGUGAACAGCUGGAUUGUGUCUAGAAGGGGGCAGGAGUUAUGAAUUCCUCAGGGGUUCUGACCCAGGAGGUGCUGCUGGGGUGAGAGGUAUGUGGUGUGGGCACCAGGAGGGGGAAAGAAAUGGAGAGGAUGGAUGGGUCAGGUAUCCCAGAGCAAGGGGACCCCUAGGAAGGAGACAAACACCUUCCUCCCUUUGUUCCUCCCUCCAUCCCUCCCUUCCUUUCUUUCAUUUUGAGACAGGGUUUCUCUGUGUAGCAAUGGCUGUUCUAAAACUCACUCUGUAGACCAGACUGCUCUCAAACUCAGAGGUUUGCCUGCCUCUGCCUUCCGAGUGCUAGGAUUAAAGGUGUGCUCUAUCAUAACCAUCUGGGCACAAAUUUCAAGGGGGAGAGGAAGAGGGUCCUCACUGCAAGGACACUGCUUGGAUUCAUUCUCACAGUUCUGGUUCUGCCUGAGACAACCUCCCAGGAUAUCUCCUCCCAAACCCAUCGCCUCCUAUCUGGACUCCUACACUGGGCCAGAUGCAACCCUUGUGGGAAGCCUGGACAUCUCCUACUAGCACAGCUGUACCUUUUUCCUCCCUACUCACCACAGUAUGGGGCCCUGGACGUAGUCAGGAGAUACACUUUCACUUCCUUGGGGAGUGGCUCAAUCUUGACACCGCCUAGUUCCACCAGUCCUGGAAAUAAAGAAGCAAAGGUGACACAGUUCUGAGAAGGCCAUUUCUAGGACCCAGAGUCUCCAGUCAGGUGUGGAUUCACGUAUGCAUUCUGUGUUCCGUAGAUUCUUGACUGUACAUAUGACAAGUCCCAAGAGACACAUGAAGUCCUAGGCUGUAAACACGGAAGUCAACAGGAAGUGCAUUCUUCAAGUUGUUCCACACAUUCGCUUAUUUUCUUUUAAAAUGUAUUUAUUUGUUGUUUUGUGGGGGUGUGGGGAGGAGCCAGGGGACCUUGCAUGCUAUAACACACACCUGGAGGUAAGAAAACAGCUUAUGGUAGAUAGCAACUCUCUCAUUCCAUUGUGUGGAUCCUGGGGGUGGAAUUCAGGCUUUCAGGUUUGACGGCAAGAGCCUGGCUGCUGAGCCAUCUCGCUGCCCUCUUUUAACUCAUUCAUGGUAGAUAAUUGUAAGAAUCGCAGUGUUUUGUGUCUAACUUGCAAACCGAUUCAUGCCAUAGUUGCUUUGGCAGCAUCUGUAUCCUGUCGCUUUGAAGACUGGAAGAUGGCAGUUGGAUAGAAUGUGCUCAGAGAUGAGGUCAAGUUAGGACAAGGACCCGCAGGGUGGAGAACCUUGGAUAGCACACUCGGUAAGCUCUUCCCAAGCCGGGUUGAUUCUCCUCUGCGGAGCCUUGCCUGAAGAACAGAUACUGCUCAAGCGUGCUGUUGAAGCAGACCCUCUCCGAAGUUACCCCCAUCACACCCUUUUCUACACAACGUGUAAUGACCACGUGCAUGCGAUAGGACAGUCUGUAAUCUGGUGUUUCCUCGGAUGAAGCCUUCAGGUUUUUUCCUGCCCUUUUUUGUUGUUGUUUUCCUUCUGAGUCCUUGACGCCUACCACAAUAUCUGACUACUAGGAGUGACUAGUAAAUAGUUAUUGAAUGACUAAAUGAACAGAUGCCUAACUGCAAGUCUUUCCUCAUUAUUGUGAUCUGGGGACUGGCUACCUAGCUCAGUAAACACCAACUGAAUAAGCAGAGUUAUUAUUUUUAGUUCCAUACACAAGAGGCUCAAGUUCAAAAGGCCAAAGAGGCCUAAGCCAGGGAACUAUGAAUCUAACAUGAAACAUAUUUAAUAAGUUUGGGGAUGGAGGAGUUCUACUUCGUCUUUAAAUUUUGUUUUUUAUAUGAAAACAGUGGUUCAUUUUUUAUUAUGGUAAGAUACACACAGCAAAUGUUACCAUCUUAUUUUUUAAGUAGACAACUCAGUGCCUUUACUGAUUGUCUAAAUUUACGCUGAGAAGUCAUCACCUCCUUGUAUUGACAUUUAUCCUAAACAAUUGAAACUGUAUUUUAAGCACCAACUCCUCAUUUCUCCUCCCUCAUUCUCUGUCAACCAUGAAUGUGAUUUCUCUUAAGUAAAGGACUUACCUUUGUCAUGAGCAAAUAAAUAAGCCUAGCAUAGCCAGGCUUGUGGAA